rnacentral:rRNA from 1 species
AUUGAACGCUGGCGGAAUGCUUUACACAUGCAAGUCGAACGGUAGAGGGGGCAACCCCUUGAGAGUGGCGAACGGGUGAGUAAUAUAUCGGAACGUGCCCAGUCGUGGGGAUAACGUAGCGAAAGUUACGCUAAUACCGCAUACGAUCUAAGGAUGAAAGCGGGGGACUCGCAAGAGCCUCGCGCGAUUGGAGCGGCCGAUAUCAGAUUAGGUAGUUGGUGGGGUAAAGGCUCACCAAGCCAACGAUCUGUAGCUGGUCUGAGAGGACGACCAGCCACACUGGAACUGAGACACGGUCCAGACUCCUACGGGAGGCAGCAGUGGGGAAUUUUGGACAAUGGACGCAAGUCUGAUCCAGCCAUUCCGCGUGCAGGAUGAAGGCCCUCGGGUUGUAAACUGCUUUUUGUACGGAACGAAACGGUGAGCUCUAAUACAGUUUGCUAAUGACGGUACCGUAAGAAUAAGCACCGGCUAACUACGUGCCAGCAGCCGCGGU